GAUCGGCUCAGGACGAACGCUGGCGGCGCGCCUAACACAUGCAAGUCGAACGGAGUUUACAGGCAGAAGUUUUCGGAUGGAAGCUUGUAAACUUAGUGGCGGACGGGUGAGUAACACGUGAGCAACCUGCCUAUCAGAGGGGGAUAACGAUUGGAAACGAUCGCUAAUACCGCAUGACAUAGCGGAACCGCAUGGUUCUGUUAUCAAAGAUUUUAUCGCUGAUAGAUGGGCUCGCGUCCGA
rnacentral:rRNA from 1 species